UACGAAGGGGGCUAGCGUUGUUCGGAUUUACUGGGCGUAAAGCGCACGUAGGCGGAUUGUUAAGUCGGGGGUGAAAUCCUGGAGCUCAACUCCAGAACUGCCUUCGAUACUGGCGAUCUCGAGUCCGGGAGAGGUGAGUGGAACUGCGAGUGUAGAGGUGAAAUUCGUAGAUAUUCGCAAGAACACCAGUGGCGAAGGCGGCUCACUGGCCCGGUACUGACGCUGAGGUGCGAAAGCGUGGGGAGCAACAGGA
rnacentral:rRNA from 1 species